rfam:Erinaceus europaeus unplaced genomic scaffold scaffold00195, whole genome shotgun sequence
GGAUGUAAAGGUGAUGUGGCUUCAACGUCUAUCACCCGUUGAUCACCAGGGUGGAUUCAGCUGAUCUGACUGGCUAGGUGGUUGUCCUCUUCCUUUCUCACAGCUCAGUGUGUGUCCCUCCUGAAGCUGUGUGUUUGGUUGAAUAGGUUGACCUUCCCCAAAUAGAUAUGGACAUGUCUUCUGUCAAUGUAUACAAGUGGCUAUGCUCCCCUGCUAGAAUUUCCAAACAAAUAAGCUCACAAGGUCCUAAUCUUUUUAUUUUUAUUGCCACCAGGGUUGUAGCUAGCCUUGGUGCUUGCACAGUGAAUUCACUGCUCCCAGCCUUUUUUUUUUU